rnacentral:rRNA from 1 species
UGCGUUCCAUUAGGCAGUUGGCGGGGUAACGGCCCACCAAACCGACGAUGGAUAGGGGUUCUGAGAGGAAGGUCCCCCACAUUGGUACUGAGACACGGACCAAACUCCUACGGGAGGCAGCAGUGAGGAAUAUUGGUCAAUGGGCGUAAGCCUGAACCAGCCAAGUCGCGUGAGGGAUGAAGGUUCUAUGGAUCGUAAACCUCUUUUAUAAGGGAAUAAAGUGCGGGACGUGUCCUGUUUUGUAUGUACCUUAUGAAUAAGGAUCGGCUAACUCCGUGCCAGCAGCCGCGGUAAUACGGAGGAUCCGAGCGUUAUCCGGAUUUAUUGGGUUUAAAGGGUGCGUAGGCGGCCUUUUAAGUCAGCGGUGAAAGUCUGUGGCUCAACCAUAGAAUUGCCGUUGAAACUGGGGGGCUUGAGUAUGUUUGAGGCAGGCGGAAUGCGUGGUGUAGCGGUGAAAUGCUUAGAUAUCACGCAGAACCCCGAUUGCGAAGGCAGCCUGCCAAGCCAUGACUGACGCUGAUGCACGAAAGCGUGGGGAUCAAACAGGAUUAGAUACCCUGGUAGUCCACGCAGUAAACGAUGAUCACUAGCUGUUUGCGAUACAGUGUAAGCGGCACAGCGAAAGCGUUAAGUGAUCCACCUGGGGAGUACGCCGGCAACGGUGAAACUCAAAGGAAUUGACGGGGG